GAGGAUCCCAGAGCUGCCGAUACUGAACAACUUGGACUCUGCAGCACAUGCUGGACUCUCCGUGCGGGUAGAGUGAUGAGCUCUGUACAUCAGGAGACACCGCGUGGAGAUUGCAAGUGUGGCCUGAGACUCAGAAGCAGGAGCAUUGGAGGAAUUCCAGAUGGCAGGGUGCCCACCUACCCAGCAUAAAGGGUCUCUGUCCAGCAGGAGAGGAGGAAAGUGACCUUCGGCUGGAGGAAAAUGGGCAUCACUUUGGAAUGCUGGAACUUUGCUCCUCUUUGGAAGUGAGUAGGGCUUCCCUAGCCUAGGACAUAGGGUCCAGAGGUGAGGCCAGCACUCUCACAUCU